rnacentral:snRNA from 1 species
CAGCCGGAGGUAGGGUCCAGCGG